UCUAGUGACCGAUAGUGAACCAGUACCGUGAGGGAAAGGUGAAAAGCACCCCGGAAGGGGAGUGAAAUAGAACCUGAAACCGUGUGCUUACAAGUAGUCAGAGCCCGUUAAUGGGUGAUGGCGUGCCUUUUGUAGAAUGAACCGGCGAGUUACGAUUUGAUGCAAGGUUAAGCAGUAAAUGUGGAGCCGUAGCGAAAGCGAGUCUGAAUAGGGCGUUUAGUAUUUGGUCGUAGACCCGAAACCAGGUGAUCUACCCUUGGUCAGGUUGAAGUUCAGGUAACACUGAAUGGAGGACCGAACCGACUUACGUUGAAAAGUGAGCGGAUGAACUGAGGGUAGCGGAGAAAUUCCAAUCGAACCUGGAGAUAGCUGGUUCUCUCCGAAAUAGCUU
rnacentral:rRNA from 1 species